AAAAAAAAUUUCCUGUGCAGCGCUUGCUUUAUUCAAAGCCUUCGAAGUCAUGACAGUGCGAGCGAAACGAGACGUCACAGUGCAGUCCACUGUCACACUGUACAGCUCCACCUGAGACACAAGACAAAAAGAUGAGAACAGCAACAGAACAAUAUGCACAACUUAUCACAAGCCCCUCAUAUACA